AGAGUUUGAUCCUGGCUCAGGACGAACGCUGGCGGGCGUGCUUAACACAUGCAAGUCGAACGAUGACGAUGGUGCUUGCACCGUCUGAUUAGUGGCGAACGGGUGAGUAACACGUGAGUAACCUGCCCUCCUCUUCGGGAUAACCGCCGGAAACGGUGGCUAAUACCGGAUAUGAAUGCCUGCCGCAUGGUGGGUGUUGGAAAGAUUUAUCGGUGGGGGAUGGACUCGCGGCCUAUCAGUUUGUUGGUGAGGUAAUGGCUCACCAAGGCGAUGACGGGUAGCCGGCCUGAGAGGGCGACCGGCCACACUGGGACUGAGACACGGCCCAGACUCCUACGGGAGGCAGCAGUGGGGAAUAUUGCACAAUGGGCGAAAGCCUGAUGCAGCGACGCCGCGUGGGGGAUGACGGCCUUCGGGUUGUAAACCUCUUUCAGCAGGGAAGAAGCGAGAGUGACGGUACCUGCAGAAGAAGCGCCGGCUAACUACGUG
rnacentral:rRNA from 1 species